AAUGAUUGUGAUCGAUAGAGAUCUGUGGAGUUUGCCUAUCUGUGAUCCGUCUGUGAAAGUGGGCUAUCGGGCCGCUGAUGUUGGUUAUCUAUGGUCGAGCGACAGUUGAUGGUUACGGGGAAGGGGACUUGACAUGAGCGGAAGGUGUUACGGUGUGUUGAUCGCGAGUUAUUUAAAAACAAAGGGCGUGUACUGAAUAAAAGCUGUAGCAAGAUGACUAACUGCGUGUGGACUGCGACAAAUUUAUGAUAUUUUUAAGUAUAUGUGAAAACUUAUAAUGCAAUGUGAAAUACGGGGAAUGGGAGAGAUGGCAGAAGCGGGCCAGGCGAAUACAGACACGUUGCCCAAACCAGGCCGUGUGAAUGAAGUGUGUCGUGAGUGGCUGGUCAAGGAGGAUGGAGCACUGGCCUACCAACUGCAGACUGAGGAAAUCAAACACCACUACACAGGCAACAAGUCUCGAAAUGCUCUGGUGCGGCAGGACUUCCCCCACGCCCUGGAUGAGCAGCGUCGUGAAGAGAAGGAGGCCGCUUCUCUGCGGGCCAUGUACCAUCAGAUGGUCCAUCAACAGGAGCAGGUCGAUGCCCAGGUAGCUAAGCAACUGGCUGAGAAAAUGGAGCGUGAAGAAUUGGAACGGCGACAAGCUCUGGAGGAGGGGGACCAGGAGAUUGCUCGAAAGCUACAACCAGACUCUUCCUCAGAUGUCGCAGCCGAAGAGGGAGAGGAACGUGAACGACUUCGUAUUGAGAGGUUUGAAAGGGAACGCCUGUCGAUGCAAGCAUCAACUGACGGCAGCAUUGAACACCCGCAGUAUGAUCGAGACAUGAAUAAUGUUGGGCUGCCUUCUCCAUCCCAGUACAGCCCAGAUUCUCUCUCUCAGCAGUUCAGACUCUGCACCUUGACAGAUGCAGCUGUCCAGACCAAUAGCAUCUGCCAGUCCCCUGAAGAGGUACUUCUUGUCAACCCACCGUCACCUGCAGGACUCAGCGAGGAGGAGGCAAGGAGAAUACAGGAAGAGCAGGAUGCUGAGUUUGCUCGCCUCCUGCAGGAACAGGAGGGGUCCCGACAGUUGGACAUGUUAGAUCAGGACAGACUGAUUGCCAUUGAAGCUCAGGACAAGGAAUUAGCACGACUACUGCAAGAGCGGGAGCGGGCGAAAGCUAAGCGAGCACGAGAGCGAGCCAAGCAGAAAGCUCUCCUGAAAAAGCAACAGCAGCUGUUGUCAGAUGAUGAGGGCUUUGUGGCUUCUCCUUCUGUGCAUGGCUGCCUUCUGCCAAGCAGUCAGUGGUCUGAGCAGGAUGGACUAAUUACUGCUCACUCCACUGCCGUUCGUCCCACUGACCUUGACCUGACCUCCGGAGCCAGUAGAUCAGCAAGUAGAGGCAGGCAGAGGUUUCCAGACCCAGAAGCAAUAGAUGUACUGCCGUCCCCUGAGCCUGGACCCUCUCAUUCUGCGUUGCCCAACAUUGCCAUGGCCAUAGACCCCACAUAUCCUCGCAGAGCUACCAUUACACACACAAGCACAUACAACACCUCAGUAGUGGACCCCCCACCCAGUAACAUUUCUAGCCCUGCCGUCUCUCUGCCACCUCCAGAGUUUGAUGAUGAAGAUGAUGAUAGUCCAGUGCCACCUUACAUGCCAAUACAGGGUCAGCGGAGGUCAGCAUCCCUUGAGAAAAAAAACAAGAAAGGACGUAGCAAGGAUAGCUGCAAACAGCAGUAACCAGCUUUAAGGGAGAAGCAAUACACAUGGCCCUUUCUUAUAGGAGUGUCUUAUUUGGUCUGCAAAUGUGUAUUCACCUCCUUCCAUAAUUUCACCUUGAAGACAGAACUGAAGGUGCCUACAAAUGUUUUCCAGCUAAGUACGAUGCGAGUCACAGAACCUUUGAAAUGAAGAUUUCUGUCACUGCUGUGAGAACCUCAAAUCUUACGAACCUUUAAAGCGUUGGUGACUACCAUGAGAUAACUUUACUGUUGAAGAAGUAGAUACUUUAUGAAAAUCUGAAUCUGUACUAUGAAGUAAUUAUUUCUGAACAGUGACUUCGGAUAGCUGAAAAUUGCCAAGAAAUGUGUAGUUCUUCUCAGCGUUGUGAACUUUGAAUACUGUUUUGAGAUUAGUACACGAUCCUGCCAGUCACUAUUUAUUCAUUCCAUUUCAAAACUUUUGAAGAUGAGAAUUUUCUUCAGGUGCCAGUCUGUAGCCUUGGAGAUUGAAGCUCAUUUCUUACCUCAUAGUAAAAUUAAUGAGAUUGACAUUUAUUCCUUCCAUGGUGCAUUAUUACUGUGAUGAAGGAAAGUUUACUUUCACUGAACCUCACGCCUGUGUCUUGAAGUACGUAGAAUUUAUACAUCUGUUUAAAACAGGUGGAUUAUUGUUCUAUAUAGCAACUUGAUAUUUUUGAAAGUUUAAUUCCAGAGCCUAAGUAUAUAUUUUUAAGCUUUGGAAGCCUUUUUUAUGAUACAUGACACUAGCACUGCCAGAGCAGAUAUUUGUGCCUAAGAGGUUAAUUUUCUCCCUUGUCAGCAUGUUGUGGCUCAUGUAUAGUAUAAGAGAACUUGAAUGUUGCUACAAGCAUCCAUUUUGCUUUUACUCAUAGCCUAUGGCAGUAUUUCCAUUUUCUUGACCUUCCUUUUGUAUCAGUUCUCUUAUUUUUUGUUGUAUUUUAUUUCUUGAUAUAUUUAUAAAUUAUUGUUGUAAUGUAGUAUUAGGAUCAUGACUGCAUGUAUUCAGAGGUGUCUGAUGGGUCUGAUAAAACAAUCAUAUACUUUGAAUAAUAUUAAAGACCAUACCAAUAAAUACUUGAUUACAAGGAAAAUGAUCAUUCCUUACAAUACAGUGUAGGACCUGUAAGGAAAUCCUGCACUGUAAUGACUAAGUAUGUGUGUCUUUCUUUAUGUAAUGUCCUAAAGAGAUCUUUAAUGAUAACCUA